GACGAACGCUGGCGGCGUGCUUAACACAUGCAAGUCGAACGGUGAAGGGACUGGUUUUGCUGGUCCUGGAUGAGUGGCGAACGGGUGAGUAACACGUGAGUAACCUGCCCCCUUCUUCUGGAUAACCGCAUGAAAGUGUGGCUAAUACGGGAUAUUCUGGGUCUGUCGCAUGGUGGGCCUGGGAAAGAUUGCGCCUUUUUUGGUGUUUUUGGUGGGGGACGGGCUCGCGGCCUAUCAGCUUGUUGGGGGGGUGAUGGCCUACCAAGGCGGUGACGGGUAGCCGGCCUGAGAGGGUGGACGGUCACACUGGGACUGAGACACGGCCCAGACUCCUACGGGAGGCAGCAGUGGGGAAUAUUGCACAAUGGGCGCAAGCCUGAUGCAGCGACGCCGCGUGAGGGAUGGAGGCCUUCGGGUUGUGAACCUCUUUCGCCAGUGAAGCAGGCCUGCCUCUUUUUGUGGGUGGGUUGACGGUAGCUGGAUAAGAAGCGCCGGCUAACUACGUG
rnacentral:rRNA from 1 species